rnacentral:tRNA from 1 species
GCAUUGGUGGCUCAGUGCUAGAAUCCUCGUACUCCACGCAGGAAACCUGGGUUCGAUUCCCAGCCAAUGUA